AAAGUAUUGGUAUUCAUGACUUGAAUUUAUUUGAAACAUUGCAUGCUUAAAUUAAUCAUUCUCCUAUGUUUCAAAAAUUCCUUAAAAGCCUUAUGAGAUGAUUGAAAAUUAAUUUGCUUUAUGAUGAAUCACGAAUCAUGACAUGAUCUAUGAUAUUGAUAUAUUUUAAUCAUGAUCCUUGGUUGUAUAAUCCUUUUGCUCUAUUAAAAGGAUUUAUUGAAUGAAUCAUGUCCUUCUUGAAUUUUCUUGAUAUCAUGACAUGAUUUUGUAAGUUGGCUUGUAUAAUGAU
rnacentral:lncRNA from 1 species